AAGCUGGAAGAUACAGAGAAGGAUAGCAUGCCCCCUGGCAAGGAUGCUCAAAUCAUAAUUUAUUUAUCACAGUAAAGAUAUGUUAUAUGCAUUCAUAAAAACAUCAUAGUGAAUCUUAUCACUUCUUAUA